rnacentral:rRNA from 1 species
GAUGAACGCUGGCGGCGUGCCUAAUACAUGCAAGUCGAGCGAACAGACGAGGAGCUUGCCCCUCUGACGUUAGCGGCGGACGGGUGAGUAACACGUGGAUAACCUACCUAUAAGACUGGGAUAACUUCGGGAAACCGGAGCUAAUACCGGAUAAUAUAUUGAACCGCAUGGUUCAAUAGUGAAAGACGGUUUUGCUGUCACUUAUAGAUGGAUCCCGGCCGCAUUAGCUAGUUGGUAAGGUAACGGCUUACCAAGGCAACGAUGCGUAGCCGAAGGGAGAGGGGGGUCGGCCACACGGGAACUGGAACGCGGUCAAGACGACUGCGGGAGGCAGCAGUAGGGAAUCUUACGCAGUAGGCGAAAGCUUGGCGGAGCGACGGCGCGUGAGUGAUGAAGGUCUUGGGAGCGGAAAACUCUGUUAUGAGGGAAGAACAGAUGUGUAAGUAGCUAUGCACGUCUUGACGGUACCGAAUCAGAAAGCCACGGCUAACUACGUG